UACGGAGGGUGCAAGCGUUAAUCGGAAUUACUGGGCGUAAAGCGCACGUAGGUGGUUUGCUAAGUCAGCUGUGAAAUCCCCGGGCUCAACCUGGGCACUGCAGUUGAAACUGGCAAGCUAGAGUAGGGUAGAGGGGUGUGGAAUUCCAGGUGUAGCGGUGAAAUGCGUAGAUAUCUGGAGGAACACCGGUGGCGAAGGCGGCAUUCUGGACCGAUAUUGACGCUGAGGAGCGAAAGCCAGGGGAGCAAACAGGG
rnacentral:rRNA from 1 species